GGGGGCGUAUGGAUUCGACGGGGGUUACGAGACUCAGGUUGCAUGCCGUGGUUCCGUCACCACGAAUAAAGACGGGAAAAAACACAAACGCCAACAACGAACUGGCACUCGCUGCUUAAUUAAAGCAGCGCAUCUUUCGGGAGAUGUCUGCUAUCCCGAAAAGGUGUCGAUUAGCAGGCUGGCUUCAACACCUUUCCCUCAGGUGUUGGGCGAGACAAUAGAGGGAUAGGGCUUUGAGGAGCCUGUCUGUCGGCGACUCACAGCCUGAAAAUUAAGAAGACGGACUAUGCAUGUAGAAGCCUGGGAGCAGUACUUUCGGACGUGGGUUCGAUUCCCACCGCCUCCACCA
rnacentral:tmRNA from 1 species